rnacentral:rRNA from 1 species
AUUGAACGCUGGCGGCAUGCCUUACACAUGCAAGUCGAACGGCAGCACGGGUGCUUGCACCUGGUGGCGAGUGGCGAACGGGUGAGUAGUACAUCGGAACAUGUCCUGUAGUGGGGGAUAGCCCGGCGAAAGCCGGAUUAAUACCGCAUACGAUCUACGGAUGACAGCGGGGGACCUUCGGGCCUCGCGCUAUAGGGUUGGCCGAUGGCUGAUUAGAUAGUUGGUGGGGUAAAGGCCUACCAAGGCGACGAUCAGUAGCUGGUCUGAGAGGACGACCAGCCACACUGGGACUGAGACACGGCCCAGACUCCUACGGGAGGCAGCAGUGGGGAAUUUUGGACAAUGGGCGAAAGCCUGAUCCAGCAAUGCCGCGUGUGUGAAGAAGGCCUUCGGGUUGUAAAGCACUUUUGUCCGGAAAGAAAUCCUUGGCCCUAAUACGGCCGGGGGAUGACGGUACCGGAAGAAUAAGCACCGGCUAACUACGUG